GACGAACGCUGGCGGCGUGCUUAACACAUGCAAGUCGAACGGAAAGGCCCUGCUUUUGUGGGGUGCUCGAGUGGCGAACGGGUGAGUAACACGUGAGUAACCUGCCCUUGACUUUGGGAUAACUUCAGGAAACUGGGGCUAAUACCGGAUAGGAGCUCCUGCUGCAUGGUGGGGGUUGGAAAGUUUCGGCGGUUGGGGAUGGACUCGCGGCUUAUCAGCUUGUUGGUGGGGUAGUGGCUUACCAAGGCUUUGACGGGUAGCCGGCCUGAGAGGGUGACCGGCCACAUUGGGACUGGGAUCCGGCCCAGACUCCUACGGGAGGCAGCAGUGGGGAAUAUUGCACAAUGGGCGGAAGCCUGAUGCAGCACCGCCGCGUGCGGGAUGACGGCCUUCGGGUUGUAAACCGCUUUCGCCUGUGACGAAGCGUGAGUGACGGUAAUGGGUAAAGAAGCACCGGCUAACUACG
rnacentral:rRNA from 1 species